rnacentral:rRNA from 1 species
CCUACGGGAGGCAGCAGCUAGGAAUCUUGGGAAUGGGCGAAAGCCUGACCCAGCAACGCCGCGUGGGCGAUGAAGGCCUUCGGGUCGUAAAGCCCUUUUGUAGGGGAAGCGGUACCCUGCGAAUAAGCCACGGCUAACUACGUGCCAGCAGCCGCGGUAAUACGUAGGUGGCAAGCGUUGUCCGGAUUUACUGGGCGUAAAGGGCGUGCAGGCGGUUUGUUAAGUCUAGGGUGAAAGCUCCCGGCUCAACUGGGAGAGGUCCUUGGAUACUGGCAAACUUGAGGGAGGUAGAGGAGAGUGGAAUUCCCGGUGUAGUGGUGAUAUGCGUAGAUAUCGGGAGGAACACCAGUGGCGAAGGCGGCUCUCUGGGCUUCCUGACGCUGAGACGCGAAAGCGUGGGGAGCGAACCGGAUUAGAUACCCUUGUAGUC